rnacentral:piRNA from 1 species
UGUUAACUUACAAGUGUAGCA